rnacentral:rRNA from 1 species
GACGUAGGGCGCGAGCGUUUGUCCGGAUUUAUUGGGCGUAAAGAGCUCGUAGGCGGCUUGUCGCGUCGACUGUGAAAUCCCGCGGCUCAACUGCGGGUCUGCAGUCGAUACGGGCAGGCUAGAGUUCGGUAGGGGAGACUGGAAUUCCUGGUGUAGCGGUGAAAUGCGCAGAUAUCAGGAGGAACACCGGUGGCGAAGGCGGGUCUCUGGGCCGAUAUCGACGCUGAGGAGCGAAAGCGUGGGGAGCGAACAGG